GAGCAUAUUGGGAAGCAAAAAGAUCACCAUUUCGUGGCCAAGAAGUUCAAGAAAAAGAACCAUCUUCUUCAACCAGAAAAACAGUAGGUGUUUAAGGAUUCCAAAGAAGUAAAAAUCUCGUCCAAAGGAGAAGGAGAAGUCGGAUUAUUGCUGUUAGAAGUGAAGAUUUUUGUGCAGGAAAUAGCAAGCUAAGGUAGUCCGAGGGGAGAGCGAAUAUGAAGUCAUGUCCCAACUAUCAUAGC